rnacentral:rRNA from 1 species
CGUGAACGCUGGCGGUAGGCCUAACACAUGCAAGUCGAACGGCAGCACAGUAAGAGCUUGCUCUUACGGGUGGCGAGUGGCGGACGGGUGAGGAAUACAUCGGAAUCUACUUUUUCGUGGGGGAUAACGUAGGGAAACUUACGCUAAUACCGCAUACGACCUACGGGUGAAAGCAGGGGAUCUUCGGACCUUGCGCGAUUGAAUGAGCCGAUGUCGGAUUAGCUAGUUGGCGGGGUAAAGGCCCACCAAGGCGACGAUCCGUAGCUGGUCUGAGAGGAUGAUCAGCCACACUGGAACUGAGACACGGUCCAGACUCCUACGGGGGGCAGCAGUGGGGAAUAUUGGACAAUGGGCGCAAGCCUGAUCCAGCCAUACCGCGUGGGUGAAGAAGGCCUUCGGGUUGUAAAGCCCUUUUGUUGGGAAAGAAAAGCAGCAGGUUAAUACCCCGCUGUUCUGACGGUACCCAAAGAAUAAGCACCGGCUAACUUCGUG